rnacentral:misc_RNA from 1 species
CUUACGCUGAGUACUUCGA